rnacentral:rRNA from 1 species
AUUGAACGCUGGCGGCAUGCUUUACACAUGCAAGUCGAACGGCAGCGCGGGCUUCGGCCUGGCGGCGAGUGGCGAACGGGUGAGUAAUACAUCGGAACGUGCCCCGUAGUGGGGGAUAGCUCGGCGAAAGCCGGAUUAAUACUGCAUACGACCUGAGGGUGAAAGCGGGGGAUCUUCGGACCUCGCGCUAUUGGAGCGGCCGAUGGCGGAUUAGCUAGGUGGUGGGGUAAAGGCCUACCAAGGCGACGAUCUGUAGCUGGUCUGAGAGGACGACCAGCCACACUGGAACUGAGACACGGCCCAGACUCCUACGGGAGGCAGCAGUGGGGAAUUUUGGACAAUGGGCGAAAGCCUGAUCCAGCAAUGCCGCGUGUGUGAUGAAGGCCUUCGGGUUGUAAAGCACUUUUGGCGGGAACGAAAAGCACUGGGCUAAUACCACGGUUCGAUGACGGUACCCGCAGAAUAAGCACCGGCUAACUACGUG